rnacentral:lncRNA from 1 species
CCCAUCAUAUUACGUGUUAAAAUAAGAUACGCUAGAUUUUUGUUAGGAUAGUUAUAUAUAUUUCCACGUAAUUGGCAAAGACACAAAAAAGAAAAGGAAAUAAUUUCGCAGCGGAAAGUUAAGGAUCUACAUUCCACUUAUACUGGAAAACACAGAUGGACCACUUCCCAUUACAAACUUAUUCAACAUGGCCUACCAGUCUACCACCAUCCAAUUAUUAACUGCUGCAUCACACACACACACACA